rnacentral:rRNA from 1 species
UAGGGAAUCUUCCACAAUGGACGAAAGUCUGAUGGAGCAACGCCGCGUGAGUGAAGAAGGGUUUCGGCUCGUAAAACCCUGUUGUUAAAGAAGAACAUAUCUGAGAGUAACUGUUCAGGUAUUGACGGUAUUUAACCAGAAAGCCACGGCUAACUACGAGCCAG